CACGUAGGGGACGAGCGUUGUCCGGAAUCAUUGGGCGUAAAGCGCGCGUAGGCGGCCCUGUAAGUCCGUUGUGAAAGUCAAAGGCUCAACCUUUGAAAGCCGAUGGAUACUGCAGGGCUAGAGUCCGGAAGAGGCGAGUGGAAUUCCUGGUGUAGCGGUGGAAUGCGCAGAUAUCAGGAGGAACACCAAUAGCGAAGGCAGCUCGCUGGGACGGUACUGACGCUAAGGCGCGAAAGCGUGGGGAGCGAACAGG
rnacentral:rRNA from 1 species